CUAAUAUCAGACGUCUCUCCCUCUCUCUAAAAUUCAACCUUCUUCCCCUCUCUCUCUCACCAUUUUCUCUCUCCUUAAAAAACUGCCAUUAAACCUUCAAAAAAACACUGAUGAAGCUUCAAUUCACUCGAUUAUUCAUUGAUUUCAAGUAGUUUGUCGUCGAAUUCUUGUAUAUUUCUUCCUUUCUUCUACAAUUUUCGUCAAUUUUAACAUAUUUUUUUGAAUUCUAUACAAUUGAAGAGAAGAAGCAGAAAAAUCAUAAAAUCAGGCAAAAAAACCUACGAAUGGAGAAGGAAAAGUAUGAAAAGUGAAUAUGAAAUUGCAAAAAAAAUCAACGAAAAACACAAUUCAGAUUCAGAAGAUCCAGAAGAAUCGUAGAAAUUUGCAGUAAGCAGAGGAAUAAUUUCCUAGCUCUUAUCAAUCAAAUUAAGCCAACGGAGCAUCAUGUUGUUCUUUCCAAGACAGAUAGAUUGAAGAUAUGUGCAAAGAUGCGGAUGCCAUUUCCAACAGUCAGGUGUAAAAAAUGCUUGUUGUGGAAGCUUCCAGGGAUGUUGAUACUGUAUCCAAUACUCAGAUGCAUGUAAUGCCCGCUUCAGAAGAAUCUGAAGAUGCUCAAAAAACUGUUAGUGAUGUUAUUACCGGUUCUGAAGCUCAGGUGUAGAUAAUUACGGCUCAAGAAGCUCUGAAGGACAGAUACUUUUGCCAACAAUCAGAUGGAUAUAACACCAGCUGAGGGUACUAAUUCCAAUGUUCAUGUGAAAAUUAUUCAUGUCGAGGGAGUUGUUACCAAUUCCAAUGUUGAGGUGCCACUAAACUAGCAUUAAAUAUGUUCUAAAUUAACGUUGCAUAUGUUCUAAACUAGCGUUGCAUAUGUUCUGAAUUAAAGUUGAUUAUGUUCUAAAGGUUUAUA